CAUUUUCAAAUUAUAUUGUUUUUAUUUUUAUAAAUGAAUAAAAAAUUAAUUAUAAAAGUAUAAAUAAAAAAAUCUAUUUUUUAUUUUAAUUUUUUGUCUGUAUAUUUUUUUAAGAAUAUAAAUGGGAAGAAAAAAAUUAGAAAACAUAAUAUAAUUAAAAAUAUAAAUUUUAUGUAAAUAAAAAUUAUUAAAAUAAGACUAGAAAUAAAAUUUUCCUUAACUUUUUGUAAAAUUAACUAAUUAUUGAUUUUUAAAUUCAAAAAAAAAAAAAAAAAAAAAAAACUUAUCUGUUUCGGACACUGUAAUGGGGUUAUACCUUUGAUUCCAAUAAUUCGUAAUGGCAUAUAUUUGCCUAUAAUUCUAUUGUGAGGUUUUGCUUCCGGCCAAUGUGUACUAAAUAUUAUUAUUUUGGUAACUAUACAAUAAAGUGUAGUUAUAUAUAUAUAAAAAAAAUAUAUUUAAUAGGAUAAAUUUAGUAAUAAAGUAUAAUUAUUAUUUUUAGAGGUGUAAAUAUAAUUUCCUAAAAAAAAUUUAGGGUUGUAUUUCUCUGCAGUCUCCUCUAUAUAUAUAUAUAUAUAUUAUAUUAUUAGGGUUGCUCUCCCAAAUCUCAGAACCAUGGCUGACAAAGAAAAAGAAAAAUUUGAAGCCAUGUUUUACAGAAAGAAAAAGAACAACAAAAAGAAAGAAGAAGAAAAAAGAUCCUGGUAUUAGAGUGAUGGCAAUUGUAAAAUCCAUAUCCCCAAUUGUCGUUCCUCGAAAAACAGGUAUCAAUAAGUUCAAAGAAUUCUUUUCUUGUAUUUAAAUUCAUAACAUUUGUAGAAAAAUUCGUUUUGUAAAAUGAUAAAUCAUGUAUUUUACUUCUUGGUUUUAUGUGGAAUCCAUUAUCAUGGGUCAUGGAAGCUGCUGCAGUGAUGGCAAUUGCCCUUGCUAAUGGUGGAGUGAUUAGAUUUGAUGCUGACAUUUACUUUCUGUUUAUUCCAUGGUUUUUUAUUUUUAUUUUUUUUUUGUUUUUAAGACUUAAUUUCCUCACAUUUAUCCCACAUUUCAAGGGCAAGGUCCAGAUUGGCAAGAUCUUGUAGGGAUUAUCUGCCUACUAAUAAUCAACUCCACAAUAAUGCUGGAAAUGCUGCUUCAGCCCUCAUGGCCCGUUUAGCUCCAAAAACAAGAGUAGGCUCUUCUUUGAUUAAUUCCUUGGUCUAAGGGAAUAUCAACUUCUUUGUUACGUAAUCAGGUCAAUUAACAAUUCUUACUGCAGGUUCUCAGGGAUGGCUAAUGGCAAGCAUUUAGAACAUGAUGAUUUGUAAAUCAAUCAUUGAUUACAGAUUGUGAUAUUAUUGCCUUUUGUUAAGUAAUCCUUUUAAGGCCUAGCAUAUUCUUUUUAUUAUUAGACUUACUUUAGAAGAGUACUUUACGAUGAUUGGUAUCAAUAUAUGAAUGUCCAAUAUUGUUCUGUACAGUCAGCUCUUACUGGAGAGUCUCUACCAGUCACCAAGAGAACAGGUGAUGAGGUGCUCUCUGGUUCAACCUGCAAGCAAGCAUGGAGAAAUUGAAGCUGCUGUUAUAGCAACUGGAGUAAUUGUAUAAUUUUAAAAGGAGAAAUUUUUUUUUGGGCCCCUGCACUAGGUGGACCCUAGGCACAGGCCUAGCACGCCUAUGCUCAGGGUGGACCUUGAGAACAAGUCAUUGAGGAGAAGAAGGAGGAGGUA